CCUACGGGGGGCUGCAGUGGGGAAUAUUGCACAAUGGGGGAAACCCUGAUGCAGCGACGCCGCGUGAGUGAAGAAGUAAUUCGUUAUGUAAAGCUCUAUCAGCAGGGAAGAAAAUGACGGUACCUGAGUCAGAAGCCCCGGCUAACUACGUGCCAGCAGCCGAGGUAAUACGUAGGGGGCAAGCGUUAUCCGGAUUUACUGGGUGUAAAGGGAGCGUAGACGGCAGUGCAAGUCUGGAGUGAAAGGCGGGGGCUCAACCCCCGGACUGCUCUGGAGACUGUACGGCUGGAGUGCAGGAGAGGUAAGUGGAAUUCCUAGUGUAGCGGUGAAAUGCGUAGAUAUUAGGAGGAACACCGGUGGCGAAGGCGGCUUACUGGACUGUAACUGACGUUGAGGCUCGAAAGCGUGGGGAGCAAACAGGAUUAGAUACCCGUGUAGUC
rnacentral:rRNA from 1 species